UUUCUAAAUAAUAUAAUAGAUCCUCAUCCUUUAAAUCUACAACCUUACUUAAUGUUUUCUUUUCUAAAAAACAACGGUUUAAAUGAUAUAAUAUUUUCUACUUAAAAAAACUUACAAUUAAAUCACUAAAAAUUACAGACUAAAUAAACUUUUAUCUCACUCAUAUAAAUUUUUCGUUUAAAUAUUAUUAAAUGGACAACCAAUUAAAAUUUUAUUUUAGUUUUAGAACUAAUUUAUAACUUUCAUGGGUGUUUGAAAAUUUAUCUUUUCAACCAAACUUUUUGUUCCACUUCGUCUUACAUCUAUUUUGAUGUAAUUCGGUAAUUGCACCAUCUAUAUAUAUACAAAAGUGCAUAUACAUAUAUAUAUAUAAUCAAUUUUGAACAAUGACCAUAAUCGUAUUAUCUAUCUAUAUAUAUAUAUAUAUAUAUAAUUUUUGGUACCUCUCGUGUGUGUUCACGUAGAGACUACUUCUGUACAGAGACAACACGUGUCUUGCGUUUCAUUUAAUCCAGUUCGAGAUGGACUUUGAUCGUGGACUUUAAACAAUUGGGCUUCUAAUAUCAUUAUCAAAGUCUCCAACUAUUAGCUUCAUCUUCAAUAUUGGGCUUAAAGACUUUUGUCGUUAUUAGACACCGAUGGACAGCUCCAGUUUAGCCAACCGUCUAUGAAGAUCCUAUUGUGUUCCGAACACCGAUUUUUUUCCGAUCAAUAUCUGUUGGGAGCCGACGUCUCUGUCUAAUCGCUUCAAUUUCUUCUGACUGAGUAUCGAAAUCCAACACUGUUACAGAUCUCAGACUGCAUUCAAUCAUCGUCAUUAACGCCAUUCCUCACACGAUUUCACAUAAAAUACUUCUAUGAAUCUACAACUAAAAAUAUGAGGGUUUUUAUGUGAAAUCAUCAAUUCUAUCCUCUCAAUCAUUCCCAAACUUUCAGAGAUUAGAAUGGCAAACUCUCUGUAUUAUGUGUUUUUGUAUUUUCCACCGUCUCUCACCUGCCAUCAUUUCGUGAAGACGGAGUUGUUGCCGUGACGUUCGAUAUUCACUCCACCACCUCUGGUCAAUCAAGGCGUAAUGGUUUAGGGUGUUACCUUCUGUUCCUUACAUCCGUAGCAACGUAAACAGUUUUCUCCACUUCCGUCUACAAACGGUUUCUCAGUGCUCCUGAUCCAAUCAAGCUUACCUUCACUUCAGCCUACAAAAGGUUUCUCAUCUCUCCUGAUUUAGAUGGAUAGGAGAUGGUAGAGACACAAAAGGAAACAAAUGGAUCAAGCAGAGGAGCAAAGGCACACGUAGUAGAAGGAAUCGUUUUGUCUGAGUUUCUUGAUCUGGAAGUACAAUGGUCUGCAAGAGAAGAAACACUGAUGGACUAUCAGUACAUAAUAAAACACUAUGAAUCUAGGAGGAAUCAGUGUUGAUGAUUAUUUUGUUGAAAGAAGAGGAGAUUUUUCCAAAGUGGAUCUAUUGGGGAGUAAACCCGAGGACUACAUUGUUAAAUCAUUGGUUUGGUUAAGGGAAAAGAUGUGAAGAAAAAUGCUUUGUCCGGAUGACAUGAGAUUCUUAGUUUAAAGCUUCAUUCUUGGAUGAGUUUAACUCUGAAUGUUCUAAAAGAUUUGAAUAGUUUUCAUGUUUGAAAUAUUUGGUAAAGAUCACUUUGUAACUUUAACAUGUGUGGAUUCACUCUAAGAACUGAGAGUGUGUGGUCUUCAGAAACAAACCAGAGAUGCUAAAGAACCAGGUCCUAAAUUUAUGUUUUUGUGUUUUGAAUAGUGACAAGCUCAAGGUAUCUUUGGCAAUGGUUAAUAGGAGGAUGAGAAGCUUAUGGCGUAAGGCAAGACAGCUGAAGGAUUUCGAAAGUGGCUAGAGUCGAAGUAUGAAAGCAGGAGUAGUUUGUGCUCUCUGAGUCAAGAGAGUGACUACAUAUUAUAUUUACCUAAGUGACGUCGGAUUACUUUCUUGAGGCGUUGUCGUUUUAUCUUUGAUGGUAUCAAACAUUCUAUAAUCAAAACAUAUAUCUUCUCUCUUUCCUCUCUUCUUCCUAUCUUCUUUUCUAUUCUCUUCUUUCUCUAUUUUCUGGUUACAGGUUACAGAGUUGAUAAGUUGAAACUUAUCAAGUAGAUUAUAAAGUUUCUAUAUGUUUGUCUAAAUCUUAUAUCUCCAAUCCCGUGAACCAUAUUAAUUUAGGGUGAAUUUGAUUUGUCUGUCUUCUUUUGACUAAUUAAUUAACUUUGUGUAUAUAUUUUUCAUUUGUUUGAAUAGGUCAUGAACUCAAAAGUUGAGACAUGAGAGUAAGAAGUUCUCAGAUGAUUGGAAGAUGUGGGCUAGCUGUGACAGUUAAGACAAAGCAGUAGAAUAACUGAAACCAUUAGCGGUGGAAAUCUCUCAUCUGAGUUCUUGCGACGGAGAAUGCAAAACUUUACUCCGAGAAAAUCAAGGAAAAAGGUUCUGCAUGUAUUCUUUAAAGAGUGUUUUACUCAUUAUCAUACGGCAACUACAGGUCUCUGCAAAGGGCAUUGUGGGGGCAUAUUAGUCCACACCUUUAUCGAAUAACCAAAUGUAGAAACGUUGCUCUAAAUAGUUGCAUGUGGUUAGAGAAGUAAUGAGGUGUUAAAGACAGUUCAGAGGGAAAAUAGUUCAUGAUUCUUCUGCAACGAUUGAUCUAUUGAUCUACAAUUUAUAGCAUUUCCAUAGCUCUGUAGUGCACAUAGUAACUUUUAUUAGAUGAGCUAGGUCUGAACGAUGCUCAAGUAUCUGAGGACAAUUUCAGAAGCUUCUCUGCACCUAGACAUCAGGAAUCACCAGUCUUCCGGUUAAAGAACUCUUAACUAAGUGGUAAACCAUAACACCAGCUAUGCCAUGGAAAGAGACUGGUGAUAACAGAAAAUAAUAUAAGUUUUCGCCUUCUAGAGUCAUUUGUUCAUGUUUCCAAUAUAUGAUAGUGGAGGAAGAAGCUACAUGAAAUAUAAAUUUUCCUUAA